AAGCCAUUUGCUUUGCCUAUAAAUAGGCAUUAUAUUUGCUUGUAAACAUACGGAAGAGAAGAAGAGAAAGAGUGAGAGUCAGAGAGAAGAGAAAGAGUGGAGUCUAUCUGAGGAGAAAUUCUGUCAGUGUAAACACCACAAAGAGAAAUAUAAUUCCACUCCCAAUAUUACAGUGGUACUUCUCAUCCUCUGAUUAUUCUAGUUUUAUAACAC
rnacentral:lncRNA from 1 species